rnacentral:lncRNA from 1 species
CUUGGACGUUAGCUUUCAACUAAACGGUUUAUUUUGUGGUCUGUGAGUUUGCGGAACAGAAUUCCAUGGAUAACAGAAAAAACCCAAGAGUUGGUGCUGUGUUCCCAACCCUAGUCCAGCACAAACCUACGAGCCAAGGCAGCCAGUAUUUGGCCAUUCGUCCAUCCAUCUGCAUAUCCCAGGGAUGCACGAACAGAGAACAGUUCAGCCUCUCGGCCGCCUUCAAUAGAGCAACGAGAAAGAAGUUAUCUGGGGGAGACUGCUUUUCCUCAUCUGAUUCUAUAUUGACCUGAAUAAAUAAGCUUAAAUACUUCUGAAGUUCCUUCUUGAUCUAUAU